rnacentral:rRNA from 1 species
GAUGAACGCUGGCGGCGUGCCUAACACAUGCAAGUCGAGCGGCAGUGAGGGGUGCUUGCACCCUGUCGGCGAGCGGCGGACGGCUGAGUAACGCGUGGGAACGUGCCCCAAAGUGAGGAAUAACUGCCCGAAAGGGUAGCUAAUACCGCAUAUUAUCUUCGGAUCAAAGGAUUUAUCCGCUUUGGGAGCGGCUCGCGUCGGAUUAGGUAGUUGGUGAGGUAAUGGCUCACCAAGCCGACGAUCCGUAGCUGGUCUGAGAGGAUGACCAGCCAGACUGGAACUGAGACACGGUCCAGACUCCUACGGGAGGCAGCAGUGAGGAAUCUUCCACAAUGGGCGAAAGCCUGAUGGAGCAACGCCGCGUGCAGGACGAAGGCCUUCGGGUUGUAAACUGCUUUUAUAAGUGAGGAAUAUGACGGUAACUUAUGAAUAAGGAUCGGCUAACUACGUG